rnacentral:rRNA from 1 species
GACGAACGCUGGCGGCGUGCCUAAUACAUGCAAGUCGAGCGGACGUUUUUGAAGCUUGCUUCAAAAACGUUAGCGGCGGACGGGUGAGUAACACGUGGGCAACCUACCUUAUCGACUGGGAUAACUCCGGGAAACCGGGGCUAAUACCGGAUAACAUCUAGCACCUCCUGGUGCCGGAUUAAAAGAGGGCUUCUUGCUCUCACGAUGAGAUGGGCCCGCGGCGCAUUAGCUAGUUGGAGAGGUAACGGCUCCCCAAGGCGACGAUGCGUAGCCGACCUGGGAGGGUGAUCGGCCACACUGGGACUGAGACACGGCCCAGACUCCUACGGGAGGCAGCAGUAGGGAAUCUUCCGCAAUGGACGAAAGUCUGACGGAGCAACGCCGCGUGAGUGAUGAAGGGUUUCGGCUCGUAAAGCUCUGUUAUGAGGGAAGAACACGUGCCGUUCGAAUAGGGCGGUACCUUGACGGUACCUCAUCAGAAAGCCACGGCUAACUACGUGCCAGCAGCCGCCGUAA